GGGCCCGCACAAGCGGUGGAGUAUGUGGUUUAAUUCGAUGCAACGCGAAGAACCUUACCAGGGUUUGACAUCCUGCGAAUCUCUUGGAAACGAGAGAGUGCCUUCGGGAACGCAGUGACAGGUGGUGCAUGGCUGUCGUCAGCUCGUGUCGUGAGAUGUUGGGUUAAGUCCCGCAACGAGCGCAACCCACGUCGUUAGUUGCCAGCAUUUAGUUGGGCACUCUAGCGAGACCGCCGGUGAUAAACCGGAGGAAGGUGUGGAUGACGUCAAGUCCUCAUGGCCCUUACGGGUUGGGCUACACACGUGCUACAAUGGUAGUGACAAUGGGUUAAUCCCAAAAAGCUAUCUCAGUUCGGAUUGUCGUCUGCAACUCGACGGCAUG
rnacentral:rRNA from 1 species